CCCGGCUACACGACUUCCGCCCUUUGCUUCCCUCGCCACGUUACUCUCCUGUGUCAGAGGCCCUAGUUCCUUGUCUGGUGAGUCAGAAAGAGACUAGCAUUACUGGAGUGAAUCCUGAGCGGACUCAGAAACUGCUCCUCCUGCCCACAGGGAAGCUAUUCAUCGUGUCCACUCUCAAGCCCUCCAACUGCAGUGUGACCUGGGAUUUAUGCAGAGAACCGAAGAGACACCUCUGAAUUCCCAAGUGUGGAACAGAAGGAAGGCGUCUGCCAAAGCCAGCAGCCAAACCAGAUUUUGGAGAGGACCUCCUCAAAGCCUGGGUGUUGACAGGGGGUUCCUGGGGAAGCGAGACCUCCUCGCAUGGGGCAAGGCAGGCCCGGUGGACCCUAGCAGCCUGGCCUGUGUGCCUGCCCUGUGCCCCCAGAGCCCUUCUGUUGGGGCCUGGCAUCCCACGGAGGUGGCAUUCUGCUCAGCAGCUCAGAGCGCAGACGGGAGGGCGGGCAUUGCCAGAGAAUCGAUUUGCGGGAGCAGCGGGGGCUUUCUCUUCCUCCUUACUUCUCUGGUCUUUGAUCUCCUGUCCUUCCUCCGCAGUCCCAUUUUUCUCCUCCUUCUUCCCUUGAUCUCUCCCUCUUUCUCUCCCUUCAGCCAAAUCACAGCAGCUCCCUAGAAGGGGGGUGGGGAGCGGCAGUCCUUUGUCCUCCUGCUCUUUCUGACUGGGUGGGGCUCACUGUCCAAGGUGCCAGCCUCCUGCCCCAGUCCCGAGGGGCAUGUUUGGCCAUGGUGAAAGGACUCACACACACACACACACACACACACACACACAUGCAUGCACGUGCAUGCACGCUCAACAAGCAAGAGCUGAAACAGGGAGAGCAACCAGGGACGAGAGGGAGAGGCGAAGACAGAAAGACUGAGACAAGAUUCAGAGCAUCAGAAAGCCAGGGAAAGAGAUGGGGAGAGUCAGAGACAACGGAAAAAGAGAAUUCAGCAAAUUAAAAAUUUUACAACCAUCCAGCAAGUCUGCAAAAAUGAUCUUCCCUGCGGUCUUUCAUUUAUCUCAUUAUCUGACUCCUAAUGUGCUUUUUCCCCCUUUCUUUUCUCGCCACACUUGGUGCAAAAUCUUAUUAGCUUUUUUUUUUUUUUUCUGGCAGGAGCUUCAUAUAGUCUUUUUCAUUACGUUUCCUAAUAAAAGCAAUCACUAGGAAGGCAUGGCUGGAGGAUUAAAAAGCCACCUCAGCAGCCUCCUGGCCAGCAGAGCCAUGACUUGCGAUAGCCUGGUUCACGCUGCCUGGGGAGCCGGCCAGCCCCGCGGGCUAGGUCAGGGCGAGCCGGGUUGUGCUGGGGAACAGUCUGGGGCCGGAAGAGUGGCCUUGCAGCUGCAGGUGCACAAGAUUAUAGAAAGCGUCAGAACGGAAGACGUGCAGAAGGCGUAGCUCCGCCCUGGAACGGCUUCAGAGCUCGAGUGAAGGCUACCUGCCUGACCCCCAGCGCUCUGGUUUUGAUCCAGAGAGAAGAAUAUUUGGGGCCUUUCUCUUUGGGCCUUGGCCCACCCCGUAGCACAUUCUUUUGGAUAACAUCAGUGAUAACAAAUCCUCACCUUUUGAGAAUAGAUUUGAUUUAUCCACCCUUUUUUUCUAAUUUGCGGUGGUAAAAUUCACAU